rnacentral:rRNA from 2 species
GGAUCGUAAAACUCUGUUGUAAGGGAAGAACACGUACGAGAGUAACUGCUCGUACCUUGACGGUACCUUAUUAGAAAGCCACGGCUAACUACGUGCCAGCAGCCGCGGUAAUACGUAGGUGGCAAGCGUUGUCCGGAAUUAUUGGGCGUAAAGCGCGCGCAGGCGGUUCUUUAAGUCUUAUGUGAAAGCCCACGGCUCAACCGUGGAGGGUCAUUGGAAACUGGAGAACUUGAGUACAGAAGAGGAAAGCGGAAUUCCACGUGUAGCGGUGAAAUGCGUAGAGAUGUGGAGGAACACCAGUGGCGAAGGCGGCUUUCUGGUCUGUAACUGACG